GUUGGUGUUCGUGGAGUCUUUGGAGGAGUUGUCCAAAAUAUGCAUCUCCACUGGAAGUUUCAUGAGACUGUGCAGGUUUGUUGUGAUAACUUUCCCAAGGAAAAAAUUAAGGAGAUGGCUUCUAUGCUGGCUCGACUAAGUGGUGGAAUAGUGAUUAACAUACAUAAUGUGAAAACGAUUAUUAUGUUUCGUGGCAGAAACUACCGGCAGCCAAAGAAUUUGAUACCUGUCAACACACUUACAAAAAGGAAGGCAUUAUUUAAA
rnacentral:misc_RNA from 1 species